AACGCAAAUUGCGCUCUCGGGAUAGGCCUGGGAGCACGCCUCUUUGAGCAUCGAUUCAACAACAACUCAGCUUCUUGCUUUUGUGUUUUCACAAGGCGAGAACGCUGGAAAUUGAGAUUCUUGCGACUGCGAGAUUCUUUAAAUGUGUCGAGCUUGCCUGAGUCGACGAACUGUCAGCUCGGCGGAUGAGAUGCAGGAUAUUUUCACACUCUGUGUGAAUUCCAUGCAGCUUCUUCGUUGCUGUUUGACUCGUCUGUCUUCUCACUAAGGCAGCGGUUCCUUGGCGGCUUCGGCUGCUAAGACAUCUUUGAACUAGAUCUCAAAUGAAGCGAGAAUACCCGCCGAACUUAA
rnacentral:misc_RNA from 1 species